rnacentral:rRNA from 1 species
ACAUACGACCAUAGGCUGAUGAAACCUGGGCAUCCCGUCCGCUCUGCCAUCCAUAAACAUCAGACCGGCAGAUCAGUAGUUGGGUGGGAGACCACCAGCGAAUCCCUGCUGUUGUAUGUU